CCUGCCCCCUAGAGAGAGCCCAGGUGUGGCUGCUGUACCACAUGUGUGUCAGUAGGACGCAGAGAGGAGAGAGGAUAUGAGUACACUUCGUGUUCUGACCUGUGAACAUCUGAAUGAUUAGUAGCCUACAUU
ensembl:snoRNA Gm24472 small nucleolar RNA SNORA17